rnacentral:snRNA from 1 species
AUAAAAUGAGUUGCGUCAACCC